rnacentral:rRNA from 1 species
GACGAACGCUGGCGGCGUGCUUAACACAUGCAAGUCGAACGGAAAGGCCCUGCUUUUGUGGGGUGCUCGAGUGGCGAACGGGUGAGUAACACGUGAGUAACCUGCCCUUGACUUUGGGAUAACUUCAGGAAACUGGGGCUAAUACCGGAUAGGAGCUCCUGCUGCAUGGUGGGGGUUGGAAAGUUUCGGCGGUUGGGGAUGGACUCGCGGCCUAUCAGCUUGUUGGUGGGGUAGUGGCUUACCAAGGCUUUGACGGGUAGCCGGCCUGAGAGGGUGACCGGCCACAUUGGGACUGAGAUACGGCCCAGACUCCUACGGGAGGCAGCAGUGGGGAAUAUUGCACAAUGGGCGGAAGCCCGAUGCAGCAACGCCGCGUGCGGGAUGACGGCCUUCGGGUUGUAAACCGCUUUCGCCUGUGACGAAGCGUGAGUGACGGUAAUGGGUAAAGAAGCACCGGCUAACUACGUG